rnacentral:rRNA from 1 species
ACGAACGCUGGCGGCGUGCUUAACACAUGCAAGUCGAACGGGGUCAUUUGGAAGUAGCAAUACGGAAGGAUGACUUAGUGGCGGACGGGUGAGUAACACGUAGGUAACCUGCCCUUAAGAGGGGGGCAACUCAGGGAAACUUGAGCUAAUACCCCAUAAGACCACGAACUGGGAUGUUUGAGGUAAAAGGAGCAAUCCGCUUAAGGAGGGACCUGCGGCCUAUCAGGUAGUUGGUGAGGUAACGGCCCACCAAGCCAAAGACGGGUAGCCGGACUGAGAGGUUGAACGGCCACACUGGAACUGAGACACGGUCCAGACUCCUACGGGAGGCAGCAGUGGGGAAUUUUGCACAAUGGGGGAAACCCUGAUGCAGCGACGCCGCGUGGAGGAUGAAGGCCUUCGGGUUGUAAACUCCUUUUCUCAGGAACGAUGAUGACGGUACCUGAGGAAUAAGCCACGGCUAACUCUGU